rnacentral:rRNA from 1 species
AGUUUGAUCCUGGCUCAGGAUAAACGCUGGCGGCGUGCCUUAGGCAUGCAAGUCGAACGAGGGAGGCCGCAAGGCCGAACUAGUGGCAGAUGGGUGAGUAAUGCGUAGGAAUCUACCCUAAAGUGAGGAAUAGCUGGCCGAAAGGCCAAUUAAUACCGCAUGUGACCGCAAGGUUAAAGAGCUUAACUGCUCGCUUUAGGAUGAGCCUGCGUCCUAUCAGCUAGUUGGUAAGGUAAUGGCUUACCAAGGCUAUGACGGGUAGCUGGUCUGAGAGGAUGAUCAGCCACAAUGUUACUGAGAUACGGAACAUACACCUACGGGUGGCAGCAACCGGGAAUCUUGCGCAAUGGACGAAAGUCUGACGCAGCGACGCCGCGUGGAGGAUGAAGGCCUUAGGGUCGUAAACUCCUUUUGUAAGGGAAAACUUUGAUGGUACCUUACGAAUAAGCACCUGCAAACUACGUGCCAGCAGCCGCGGUAAUACGUAGGGUGCAAGCGUUAUCCGGAUUUAUUGGGCGUAAAGCGUCCGCAGGCUGUUUUUCAAGUCUAGGUUCAAAGCCCGGGGCUCAACUCCGGAAGGGGUCUAGAUACUGUAAGACUAGAGACAGAAAGAGGGAAGCGGAAUUGUUAGUGGAGCAGUGAAAUGCGUUGAUAUUAACAAGAACACCAAAGGCGAAGGCAGCUUCCUGGGUCUGUUCUGACGCUCAUGGACGAAAGCUAGGGGAGCGAAGCAGAUUAGAGACCUGCGUAGUCCUAGCCGUAAACGUUGGACACUAGAUAGUGGGGGUAACUUCACUGUCGCAAGCUAACGCGUUAAGUGUCCCGCCUGGGGAGUACGGUCGCAAGACUAAAACUCAAAGGAAUUGACGGGGGACCGCACAAGCGGUGGAGCAUGUGGUUUAAUUCGAUACGAAGCGAAGAACCUCACCUGGGUUUGACAUGUAACUGGAAAUCCAACGAAAGUUGGACCCCUUCGAGGCUGUUACACAGGUGCUGCAUGGCUGUCGUCAGCUCGUGCCGUGAGGUGUUGGAUUAAGUUCCAUAACGAGCGCAACCCCUAUCCAAAGUUAAAGAUGUCUUUGGAGACUGCUUCAUUUAAAGAAGAGGAAGGAGGGGAUGACGUCAAGUCAGCACGGCCCUUAUACCCAGGGCUACACACAUCCUACAAUGGCGAAAAACAACGGGAAGCAACCGGGUAACCGGUAGCAAAUCCCUGAAAUUUCGCCCCAGUUCAGAUUGAGGGCUGCAAUUCGCCCUCAUGAAGUCGGAAUCGCUAGUAAUCGCAGGUCAGCAUGACUGCGGUGAAUACGUUCUCGGUCCUUGUACACACCGCCCGUCAAGCCAACAAAGUUGGGGGCACCCGAAGAUGUUGAUCCAACCCGCAAGGGAGGUAGACAUUGAAGGUGAACUCAGCGAUGGGGACUAAGUCGUAACAAGGUAACC